CCUACGGGGGGCAGCAGUGGGGAAUAUUGCACAAUGGGGGAAAGCCUGAUGCAGCAACGCCGCGUGAGCGAUGAAGGCCUUCGGGUCGUAAAGCUCUAUCCUCAAGGAAGAUAAUGACGGUACUUGAGGAGGAAGCCCCGGCUAACUACGUGCCAGCAGCCGCGGUAAUACGUAGGGGGCUAGCGUUAUCCGGAUUUACUGGGGGAAAAGGGUGCGUAGGUGGUUUCUUAAGUCAGAGGUAAAAGCCUAGGGAUCAACCGUGGUAAGCCUUUGAAACUGGGGAGCUUGAGUGCAGGAGAGGAAAGCGGAAUUCCUAGUGUAGCGGUGAAAUGCGUAGAUAUUAGGAGGAACACCAGUUGCGAAGGCGGCUCUCUGGACUGUAACUGACACUGAGGCACGAAAGCGUGGGGAGCAAACAGGAUUAGAUACCCUUGUAGUC
rnacentral:rRNA from 1 species